rnacentral:snRNA from 1 species
GACUCCAGUGGUGGCACUCCUGGUUUCCAGGAUGGGGUUCAAUUCCCUGUGGUGUC